GGGAAGGCCUUUAGACGUGUCGAGUCGGAGCGCAUCGAUGGGAGCUUGCUCCCUGAGAUUAGCGGCGACACGGGUGAGUAACACGUGGGCAACCUGCCUAUAAGACUGGGAUAACUUCGGGAAACCGGAGCUAAUACCGGAUACGUUCUUUUCUCGCAUGAGAGAAGAUGGAAAGACGGUUUACGCUGUCACUUAUAGAUGGGCCCGCGGCGCAUUAGCUAGUUGGUGAGGUAAUGGCUCACCAAGGCGACGAUGCGUAGCCGACCUGAGAGGGUGAUCGGCCACACUGGGACUGAGACACGGCCCAGACUCCUACGGGAGGCAGCAGUAGGGAAUCUUCCGCAAUGGACGAAAGUCUGACGGAGCAACGCCGCGUGAACGAAGAAGGCCUUCGGGUCGUAAAGUUCUGUUGUUAGGGAAGAACAAGUACCAGAGUAACUGCUGGUACCUUGACGGUACCUAACCAGAAAGCCACGGCUAACUACGUGCCAGCAGCCGCGGUAAUACGUAGGUGGCAAGCGUUGUCCGGAAUUAUUGGGCGUAAAGCGCGCGCAGGUGGUUCCUUA
rnacentral:rRNA from 1 species